rnacentral:lncRNA from 1 species
CAGUAUUGUGUAAAUUAUGUAUUAUCAGAUAUAUCCUAUGUAUGAAUUUAAAUACAAAUUCUAAAAGUUGCAAAUUUUCCUUUAUGUAACAUUUUAUUAUGAUUACAGAGUACGGUUUGGGCAAUGAGGUUUCAAUCCUGGGUGAUAUCUACAGCUAUGGUAUACUGUUGCUGGAGAUGUUUACCGGAAAAAGACCAACUGGCAGUGAAUUUGGAGAAGCUCUCAGCCUUCACAAUUAUAUUCAGAUGGCACUUCCAGACAAUCUGAUCAAUAUUGUAGACCAACACUUACUAGUACCAGAGGACAACGAUGGAGAAGAAAGAAACUCAAGACAGUGAAGCAACAAGAGAUGCGAGGAUAGCCUGCAUCGCUUCAAUCCUGCAGAUUGGAGUUUCCUGCUCAAAGGAAUCUCCAGCAGACCGCAUGCAAAUUGGAGAUGCUUUGAAAGAGUUGCAGAGAACAAAAGACAAGCUUGGUAUGUCCCUGUGUUGAAGCAUCAAAUCUUUCAAUCAUUUGGCAUAACAUCCUGAGGUUACCAUGCAUAAAUAUGUAAAGCUGAGCAACCGAAGCCUUAUUCAGUACAGGUUCAGGUUGCAACUUAAAGAGUAGCUCCACGAUAUGCUCAGUUGCUCACACAAUGCAGGGUGCUGUUUAAUAUUGAAUCGAUAUAAGAGCCAUAAUCUGUUUGGCAUUUGCAGAAAGUACAUGUAAAUUAACUAACUGCACAAGCAGUUUUAUGUAAUUCUAUUGGGCUUGUAACCUUCAAAAUUACUUAGUGCUUACCAAUGCAUUUGAUAGAGAAGUUGCAAGUGCAAUGCAUCAACACAAGAAAGAAGAGUAUCAGUGUAUUCACGAAUAAUUUUCUUUUUUAAACAAAGGAGUAUCAGUUUUUUUUUCGUGAAUACGCAAAAGAAUUGCGUAUCAUUGCAUUAAGACGAGAGAAAAAAAAUUACAGAUCACAAACCAGGAAGAGGACAGAGAGAGGAGAGGGGGCAAAUAUUUAGGCUGCUGCUGGUACCUAUCGUACCUACCUUUUGAUGCAGGCGGGGAGAGGAGAAGGCGGAGGCGGGGCGCAAAGUCCCCACCGACUCCUCCUUUCGAGACGCGAGGCUCACCGGCGUGGGCGGCGCCGCGAUUGCCGGGCUCCGGUGAACUCGGCGGUAUGAUAAGCCGGCCGGGCUAAACAAAAUCCAGAAGGAUUGACAGGAAAAUCCCGUGUCGUAUCGCGCGCUCGAGGUCUCGUGGUAGCGACGACGAUCAGGCCAUGGCGAGGGGAAGGGGGAACCCGCCGUACCCCCACGCCGGGGGGAGACGACGGCGG